GCGAGCCCUCGAUCUGGUCUGGCUUCCCGCACAGGGCAUGCUCUGUGGAGCAGUAGUAGGAGCACUCGCCGUAGAAGCAGAUGUUGUUGGCUGGGGAGGGACAGGCUGCGGGUUACCCGGGCCACAUGGGGCUGCGUCGUCACCUGUGGUCUCACGGCCCCCAAGGCCGGGCCGGGCUCUGCUUGGUGCUUCUCAUGGGCAGGACUCACCCACAGCUCCCCCAUCAAUCCCAGCAAACACCUCCACCCCAUGGUACAGAAAAGUGAACCCACAGAGCUGACUUCCCGAGGCCACACAGCUCCCCAGAGGCAGAGCCUGGCCUGAAUCCUCGAAAAUGAGAGGCUGGUCUAUGGAAACCCUAGGGCCAAUGUUUAGUCGUUUAAAAAAUGCAUUCGUAUUGUCAAGAAAGUGACAAGAAAGUGACAAUGCAUUCGUAUUGUCAAGAAAGACAUAAGGCCAGGCACAGUGGCUCACACCUGUAAUCCCAGCACUUUAGGAGGCCGAGGCGGGCGGAUCACAAGGUCAGGAGAUCGAGACCAUCCUGGCUAACACGGUGAAACCCCAUCUCUACUAAAAAUACAAAAAAAAAAUUAGCCAGGCGUGGUGGCGGGCGCCUGUAAUCCCAGCUACUCAGGAGGCUGAGGCAGGAGAAUGGUGUGAACCUGGGAGGCGGAGCUUGCAGUGAGCCGAGAUUGCGCCACUGCACUCCAGCCUGGGCGAAAGAGUGAGACUCCGUCUCAAAAAAAAAAAAAAAAAAAAAAAGUGAAGAAAGUGAAGAUAUAAUCCACAGCAUGGUAGAAAUGUUUGCAAAGCACACAGCUGAGGAUCUAGCAUUUAGAGUGUGUGAAGGACUCUCAUCACUCAGUCACAAAAAGGCAAAAAACCAACUAAUAAAUGGGCAGAGGGCUUGAACAGAUGAUUCUCCAAAGACGACACUGAUGGCCGACAAGCAUGAGAAGAGACAGGCGCCAUCGUGAGUCAGUGGGAAGUUGCAAAUCAAAGCCACAGUGAGGCACCACCUCCUGUCUGCUGGGAUGGCUUCCAUCGAAAGAGCAGAGAACAGCAGCUGCCAGCUGGGACGAGGAACCACCACCUCUGUGCGCUGCUGGUGGGGGGUGCGCACGGCGCAGCCGCAGCGGAAACGGUCUGCAACCCCUGAUUAAACACAGCGUCUCCAUGUGACCCGGGAUCUCCCCUCCCACGUAAACCCCUCAGGGAAGAAAAAAUACAAAAACUCAGACACGAAUGCUCACAGCAGCACUGCUCACCGCAGCCGAAAAAGACAGAAUCCACCCAAAUGUCCAUCAAGAGAGGAGUGGACAGGCCGGGUGAACGUGGUCCAUCCGCACGAUGACACGAAACGAAAUGAAACAAGAAAAGGAAUGAAGCCCUCACUGAACCCGAGAACCCUGUGCUCCGCGAAGGAGGCCAGACAGGAGGCCAUAGGUCGUACGACCCUCUUAAUACGAAACGCCCGGAACAGGCAAAUCCAGACAGACUGGGGGUGGGAUGCUGGUCGCCGAGGGCUGCGGGGCGAGGAAUGGUGACCGCCUGCUCACGGUACGGGGUUCCUUUUUGGGGUCAAGAAGACGUUCUGGAUUUAGACAGUGGUGAUGGUUGCACACCAUUGUGAACAUACUAAAAACCACGGAACUGUACGCUUUUAAAUGGUAAAUUUUGUGGUACAUGAAUUAUACCUUAAUAAAGAAAGAAUAACUAGAAAAAUGCAAGAGCUGUCCAGGCCUGCUAGCAGUGGGGGUUCACAGCUCUGAUGCUGGAGGCCCGGCUGAUGGUGCUAUUCCUGUAUUUAUUUGCUGAUUAAAUCCAAUUUUUCUGCUUUAUUUGUUUGUGGAGAAACUCUGGAAAGCCUGGGGCUGCAGAACUGGUGAGAAUGUGGUUUUGUUGGGGCCAGAGCCCCGAACCUCACUCACAGCCCCCUCAGUCACAGCAUUUCUGCUAUCUGAGCACACGGCUGACAUCUCAGCCAAAGGGGCCCCUCCUUGAGCCACGCAGCCAGGCUGAGUGAUUCCAAGGGUCUCUCCAGGUGUUCCUGAGCCUCCAGGCUGCAGGGCAGGCUCCCCGUGGGAUCAGAAGGCAGGUUCUGAAGGGCGCUUCCCAGUGGAGUGAACAGGAGGGCGGCCGGUCCGGGCUGCCCUUUCUUAGAUGAACAAGCUGAGGUUCGGAGAGGAAAUGGGGUGGGUGCCAGGCCGACCUGGCCCCCACCACACCCCACGCACCCGGCAGGUCCCGGCUGGUCUGGCUCCAACGCCCCGAUCACCUGCCUGCCCCCUCCUUCCCGUGCCCCCUCACCCCAGUGCCAAUGCUGGGUCAUUAUUGUAAGAACAAUCAAGGAAAGACCAGCUGCAAUCCUGUCUCGUGUUGAUACAGAUUAAUCGGCAGCCCACAGUUGGACAAGGCAGCCCACUCUGUUUCAGGAGGAAAAUCUUCAUCCGAGUGCUCAUUGGCUGGAGGCUUAAAAUUCGUCUGCUGUAACAGCCUCCCGUCCUUGCCUAAGCCGGUUUCAGAUGGUGUCGUGUUAAAAGAGAAACAGCCUUUCCUCUUUGCAGAUCCAAAUCGGGUAUUAAAGGGGCCUCCCGAGCGGGGUUAGGAGGGCUCUGAGCUGUGUGACCUCAGCUGCUCUGUGCCCAGCCCCUCGCCCGGGAAGCGGGGCCGCCAGCAACGCCCGCAUCACGGGCUGGGAAUUACACAAGGAAGCCGCGGGAAAGCAGCUGUCAAGGGCUGACCCGGCAGGAGGAGAGUUUUGCAAGGUGGACGUCUGCCAUCUGCCACCCUGGACAGCUGUGCCCUGGACAGCUGUGGGCCUGGCGGACACUGUUGUUUAGGGCAGCGGCUCUGGCUGCCUGAAGUGGGUCCAUAGCUGGAAACAUGUCUCCUUCAAUGUGCAUUUAAGCUGGACACAGCACUGGAGAGUCCUGAGGACCGCCCUGCCCUGCCCAGGCCACCGUGGCAGGAAAAAAGGCGAAGCGGAUGACAGCAAAGCCCUUCUGUCCGGGCUGUGUCGGGCUAAGUGGCUUCUGGAGCUGCUGGGGACCUCGGCCUGGUCCUGGGGGCGCUCACCCUGCGGAAACGCAAAGCUGUGCACGGACGACCUGUGCACCUCUGGGAUGUUUGCAACGUGCAGAUGGAAACUUGCAUAAGAAGUAGGGGGCUGUGUUCCGUGAGCUUUUGGGGCUUAGAAGAUGUGGGCUCUGACUGCGGCCCAGCCCCUACACAGCUGUGCGGUGCUGGGGUCCUAAUUGCCUUCUCUGAACCUGAACUCCACAAUCCCUACGUGGUGCAGGGGGCUGCCUGGGCUCAGCCUCUGCUUCCCCCUCCCAGAGCCCACCUUCCCCAAGCACCGGCCCUGGCCGCCUCUUGCCCCUCACUUUGCUCCCGGCUGGUAGGUUUUUCCCUUUUCUGAUCGACCCUACAGGAGGGUCAUUCAGGCCAUGGGAGGCCGAGGGGGUGUCUGCAGUGGGCUCAGCCCUCUGAUGUGCCCUGGGCUCCGGCAGGGCCUCUGAUGUCACCUGGCAUCUGUGGUCAGGAGACACAUGCAAAGCAAAGUGGAGCAGAUGAAUCUGAACAGAUUUUGUUCUCUAGGAGAGGAAUCCAGGCUCCUGCACCCCUGCUGCUCUAGAGAAAGUCAAGUGCUCACAGAGGCUUCUGGAAGAAAUUGAGCUGACAGGGCAGAGCGGCCGGAGCGGCAGCAGUGGGGUUCUGGGGCUGCGUUCAGGGGCACCUGGCAAUGCUGGGCCCGGCUGCUCUGGGAGAUUUGAUGACUCGCCUGUCCGGGCAGGGAGGUGGAACUGCUGGGUCCUCCGGCGGCCGAGGAAGUCUGGGAUUUCAGGGGAGAAACUUGCGCUGCCCUGGAAAACGCAACUAAUAUCUGGAAACCAGGAGUGGCCAGGGAAGCUGCCAGAAUGCUUAAUCAAAGUGCUGGCUCCAGGGAGAUGUGAGAAGGGAUUCCAGCAAUGGCACCAAAGGUGGUCGAUGGCCGCCUUGCAGCACAGAGCUCGGGGCGCUCCGGUGACCACCGUCCCUGGCCUGCUGAGGACCUACCUGGGGAUUCCAAAUGUCAGCCAACAUGGGACGUAGAGGUGACUUAAUUCACCUGCUUGAACUAAUAAUCAACUCAGUCUUUUUUUUUUGAGACAGGGUCUCACUCUGUCACCCAGGCUGGAGAGCAGUGGUGCGUGAUCAUAGCUCACUGCAGCUUUGACCUCCUGGGCUCAAGCCAUCCUCCUGCCUCAGCCUCCUGAGUUGCUGGACUCACAGUUGCACGCCAUCAGACCUGGCUAAUUUUUCAUUUUUUGUAGAGAUGGAGUCUCGCUAUGUUGUCCAGGCUGAUCUUGAACUCCUGGGCUCAAGUGAUCCUCCCAGUGCUGGGAUUGCAGGCGUGAGCCACUGUGCCCGGCCACUCAGUAAGACCUUAGAAACGGGGAGGAAAGAACUUGCCCCCACAGGCUCAUUUUACAGUGAAAUGGGGAGUUCCGGAGAUGCUGCUCGGAGCAGAGCCAGGCAGGGCAUGUUCUCAGCAUGAGUGGGCGUCUUUGACCCCUCCCUGCGUGACCCUGUGACCUUCUCUUUCAAUUGGUCCUGAACCGAGAGCCUGGUCUGCAAUGCAGAGAAUCGAGUCUAAGCUGGAGGAAUUCCCGCAGUCGCUGCAGGGGGCGCUGGCACCUGAGGAUGGGGAAUGUCAGUCUUUGCAACCUUUGAAAUACAUCACCGUAAAAGUUGCAAUAAAAAUUGUAAAAAGACGUGGAUAAGAAGCAGCCGGGCAUCCAGGCAUCACCGGGGCGAAGCCCAGCCUCCGUGGGCACCAGGGUGUGCAUGGCGGGCUGCAGGGCGGUCAGUCCUGUGGACGGUGGGGCAGGAGGCGGUGGCUGGAUGGUGCGUUCAGGGUCGGCCCAAGGGCUGACAGCAGCCAGAGCUCAGGCGUGCUUAGGAAGCCCUGGACUCCCAGUGUGGGCAGGUGAGUUUCAGCCCCUUAAAAAAGAUGGACAGCUCAAGCCAUCCAAACAGGGACUGAAUUGUUUGUGAGCCAAUGCGUUCCCCAUCACUGGAGGUGUGCCUGGCUCAGGCACAGCGGACCGGGGAGCCCUCAAAGACCCCCACGCUCAGGUUCUGCCCGAUUCCCGGUGUGUAGGGCCAGGCACCAGUGGGCCAGGGAAGGGAGCCCUUCUUCCUGCCUCUGUGGAGCUUUCUGUCCUAUUUUUCUCUUAUUAAUGGGCUUUGAGAGGAAGAGAGCAAAUGAGGAUCUCGGUGAGCCCUGGCUGACGGAACGGAGCUUAAUUAAAUCACGGAUUCGGGGACCUGGUUCUGACAAAUUCAUGAACGCGGUUAGGAGAAAGCACAGAGUCUGUACAUUGAUGUGAAACAUCUGCAGGAAAUGAGCUUUCAGGUCAAAGUUGUAUGUGCCAGCAAAUCUGAAGACGCAGCUAAUCAGGGGCCCUAACUGGAUUUUAUCUGCAUGAAUUAAACAGACGGGCCAGGAGAGUGGCUGAGGCCCCCUACAGCGAGAGCCUCCAAUCUGGACGGCCCCUCCCCAGUGGGGUCCUUGCUCUGCAGGGUUUCCUGGGGUGACCACCGGGUCCCUUCAUUCUGUGGUGCCCACCAUCGCUGGGACCACUCUUGACCUUCAAGAUGGAAAUGUAGGGGACCAGGUCCAGGACAGGUAGGAGAGCAUCCCCAGAGCUCAGCCAGGUGAGCAGCGGAAAUGGGAACAGCCUGUGCAGCAGGGGCCUGGCGAAAGGGAGAGGAGGACUGAACCCUCGGCAGAGCGACGAAUACCAGUUUCUUUUCUUUUCUUUUCUUUUUUUUUUUUUUGAGACAGGGUCUCACUCUGUUGCCCAGGCUGGAGUGCAGUGGUGCAAUUCCCCACUCACUGCAGCCUCCUGGGCUCAAGCAAUCCUCCUGCCUCAGCCUCCUGAGCAGCUGGGACCACAGAUAAGCACCACUAUGGCUGGCUAAUUUUUUUAUUUUCUGUAGACAGGGGUCUCACCACGUUGCCCAGUCUGGUCUCAAACUCCUGAAAUCAAGUGAUCCUCCCGCCUUGGCUUCCCAAAAUGCUGAGAUUACAGGCGUGAGCCACCACGCCCAGCCCAAAUGUCAGGUUUAAAGCAACCUGGGUAGAUAAUUAAGUAGAAAAUCAUGUGUUUAUGUGUGCACUGUACUUACCACGUAGAGUCUUGAAGGUUUUAUAAACCUCAGCACCAACAGAGACAUCUAUUCCCGCCUAACAUUCAGGCCAUCCUGUAUCCCCUCAAGGGCACCAGGGACUGGGGCCCGGGGCCAGCCCUGCUCACAGUGCAGCCACUUCGCUGAGGCGGGGGAGGCCGCCCGCCCUGUUGCUAUACAACGGGGGUCCUGCUGGGUGUGUUUGAAUCUGGGUGGGGAGGUCCCACGGAGGUCUGCUGGCUGGGCCACCUGGAGAAGGCUUCCUGGAGAGGCUAGGACCUCUCAAAAGUGAAUCGCUUCACCAGUUAAAAUAAAGAAACAGAUGGAAGAAACA